GGUCCCGUAGUGUAGCGGUUAACACGCUUGCCUGUCACGCAGGAGAUCGCGGGUUCGAGUCCCGUCGGGACCG
rnacentral:tRNA from 1 species